rnacentral:rRNA from 1 species
GACGAACGCUGGCGGCGUGCUUAACACAUGCAAGUCGAACGGAAAGGCCCUGCUUUUGUGGGGUGCUCGAGUGGCGAACGGGUGAGUAACACGUGAGUAACCUGCCCUUGACUUUGGGAUAACUUCAGGAAACUGGGGCUAAUACCGGAUAGGAGCUCCUGCUGCAUGGUGGGGGUUGGAAAGUUUCGGCGGUUGGGGAUGGACUCGCGGCUUAUCAGCUUGUUGGUGGGGUAGUGGCUUACCAAGGCUUUGACGGGUAGCCGGCCUGAGAGGGUGACCGGCCACAAUGGGACUGAGAUACGGCCCAGACUCGUACGGGAGGCAGCAGUGGGGAGUAUUGCACAGUGGGCGGAAGCCUGAUGCAGCAACGCCGCGUGCGGGAUGACGGCCUUCGGGUUGUAAACCGCUUUCGCCUGUGACGAAGCGUAAGUGACGGUAAUGGGUAAAGAAGCACCGGCUAACUACGUG